rnacentral:lncRNA from 1 species
GAGAUGGAUGGAGAGAUGGAUGGAGGGAUGGAGAGAUGCUCUGGUGGGGGCUGCAAUCUCCAGGCUGGGAUGGAUGCUUUGGAAUGGGAUGGAUAUUUGUGGUUGGAGGAUGCUCCAGGGCAGGAGGGAUGGAUGCUCCAAGUGGGAUGGAGAUCCCUGGAUAGGAAAGAUGCUCUGGGAUGGGAUGGGUAUCCCUGGACAGAAAGGAUGCUCUGGGAUGGUAUGGGAUGGAUAUUCCUGGACAGGAAGGAUGCUCUGGGGUGGGAUGGAUAUUCCAGGACAGGAAGGAUGCUCUGGGAUGGGCUGGGAUGGAUAUUCCAGGACAGGAAGGAUGCUCAGGUGGAAUGGGUAUCCCUGGACAGAAAGGAUGCUCUGGGAUGGGAUGCUCUGGGAUGGGAUGCUCUGGGAUGGGAUGGAUAUUCCAGGACAGGAAGGAUGCUCAGGUGGGCUCCAGCUCCCCCCACCGUUCCCAGCUCUCUCCCAGCUGUGUGGCUCCACAUCUGGAGCUGCCCACCCACGGCUCCCAGGCCUGGAUCCCGGAUCCCAGAUCUGUGCCCGUGCAGGAUCGGGCCCCGGUGCCCCCCCGGGUGGGGACCCCCGUCCCUUCCCCGUCCCUGUCCCUCCCCCCGGGGCCGUGGCAUCUCCUCUCCUCGUUAUCGAUCCUCAUUAAUACCAACACUCCAGUUAUUUUUAGCCGGGGGGGAGCCCUGGGUGGGGGGAGGGGGGGUCAGGGGACCCCAGCCCGGCCCUGCUGCCCCAGGGGGGUGUCCCCGUCCCCCCCUUUGCCCCCCUUCCCCCCAGCUGGGAAGGAGCAGCGGGAACUUUGUACAUAAAAAGGGUUCAACCCCAACCCCUUCAACCCCCCCUGCCCCAUAUCCCACCCGGGGGUGGCCCCGGGCCCCCCCCGUGUCUCCUGUCACCACUCACUGUCCCUGUUCGGUGUCAGUGUGUCCCCCCCCGACCCCGGGACCCCCCCGUGGCCACCCCGGGCAGGGCUGGGGGGUCCUCGGGGACAGGGACCCCCCCAGGGACGGGACCCCCGUGCACAGGGACCCCCGGGGACAGCCCCC